rnacentral:sRNA from 1 species
GCUGGGCGUGGUGGUGGGCGCCUGUAAUCCCAACUACUUGGGAGGCUGAGGCAGGAGAAUCGCUUGAACCCAGGAGGUGGAGGUUGCAGUGAGCUGAAAUUGUGCCACUGCACUCCAGCCUGGAUGACAGAGCAAGACUCUGUCUCAA